GCUGGGCGUGGUGGCUCACGCCUGUAAUCCCAGCACUUUCGGAGGCCGAGGCGGGUGGAUCACCUGAGGUCAGGAGUUUGAGACUGGCCUGGCCAACAUGGUGAAACCCCGUCUCUA
ensembl:misc_RNA Metazoa_SRP Metazoan signal recognition particle RNA